rnacentral:rRNA from 1 species
AGCCUUAAGUUACUUUUAAGGUAAGCCCUGCCCAGUGAAAUUAAAAUUUUAACGGCCGCAGUACUUUGACUGUGCUAAGGUAGCAAAAUCAAUUGGCUUUUAAAUGGAGUCGGGUAUGAAUGGGUUGAUGGAAAACUACUGUCUCUUUUAUAUUUAAUUGAAUUUUUUUAAAGGGUGAAAAUACCUUUUUAAAGAAAAAAGACGAGAAGACCCUAAGAAUUUUUAAUAUUUUACUAUCUUUAGUGGAGGUUUUUGUUGGGGCAACAAGAAAGCACAUAAAAUCUUUCAGCUUUAUAUUUUACAAGCCAAAGUUGAUGAGAGCGAGUAAAUUACCUUAGGGAUAACAGCAUAAUUUUAUUUUUAGCUUGUGACCUCGAUGUUGGACUAGGGACUAUAUGACUAGCCGUCAAAAUAGUGUGUUCUGUUCGAACAUCUUUUCCUACAU